rnacentral:rRNA from 1 species
GACGAACGCUGGCGGCGUGCUUAACACAUGCAAGUCGAACGGUAAGGCCCUUCGGGGUACACGAGUGGCGAACGGGUGAGUAACACGUGGGUGAUCUGCCCUGCACUUCGGGAUAAGCCUGGGAAACUGGGUCUAAUACCGGAUAGGACCACUGCCUGCAUGGGUGGUGGUGGAAAGCUUUUGCGGUGUGGGAUGGGCCCCCGGCUUAGCAGCUUGGUGGUGGGGUGAUGGCCUACCAAGGCGACGACGGGUAGCCGGUCUGAGAGGGUGACCGGCCACACUGGGACUGAGAUACGGCCCAGACUCCUACGGGAGGCAGCAGUGGGGAAUAUUGCACAAUGGGCGCAAGCCUGAUGCAGCGACGCCGCGUGAGGGAUGACGGCCUUCGGGUUGUAAACCUCUUUCAGCACCGACGAAGCGCAAGUGACGGUAGGUGCAGAAGAAGGACCGGCCAACUACGUGCCAGCAGCCGCAGUAA